rnacentral:rRNA from 1 species
GUGGGGAAUCUUCCGCAAUGGACGAAAGUCUGACGGAGCAACGCCGCGUGAGUGAUGACGGCCUUCGGGUUGUAAAGCUCUGUGAUCGGGGACGAAUGGCUGGUAUGCUAAUACCAUAUCAGAGUGACGGUACCCGAAUAGCAAGCCACGGCUAACUACGUGCCAGCAGCCGCGGUAAUACGUAGGUGGCAAGCGUUGUCCGGAAUUAUUGGGCGUAAAGCGCGCGCAGGCGGCUUCUUAAGUCCAUCUUAAAAGUGCGGGGCUUAACCCCGUGAUGGGAUGGAAACUGGGAGGCUGGAGUAUCGGAGAGGAAAGUGGAAUUCCUAGUGUAGCGGUGAAAUGCGUAGAGAUUAGGAAGAACACCGGUGGCGAAGGCGACUUUCUGGACGACAACUGACGCUGAGGCGCGAAAGCGUGGGGAGCAAACAGGAUUAGAUACCCGAGUAGUCC